GAUCUUGUUUUUGGAGUAAAACACGAUGUUCAGAGGGAGAUGAUGCCACAUCUGGUCCAGCCGAUGGAAGGUCUUGAAGUUCUCUGACUGGCCUCGACUGAAGAUGGUCGUCUCACUGGAUUUAAGGUUCAGAUGCUCAGUAACAAACUCCACCAAUGAGCCAACAGGGAAGCUUUAGGUUUAUUAAAUGUUGCUAUGAAGAUGCACAAUGAGGGACGUCUGCAGAGACUGAGAAAGAGUCUCACCACAUCCUGACAUGAGGAAAAAGACUUUAUUGAAGACUACAAUGAGAAAAACUAUCAGACAGCAGACGGCUGCAUUCAAGUCUGUAGCUGCUGAAUUCAUGGAUGAAUCAUCUGGCACUAGAGAAGAAGACCAUCAAACAUCCACGUCAGCUGAUGGAGGUCCAAGAGUCUCACCAAACAACCUACAGAGUGAAGACCUCAAAUCUGAUUGGACGGCCUCCUAUUCAGCCACAUGUGUGAACAAAUGCCUCUAAGCUGAUUUGUUUUCUAAAAUAAAUCUAGUUUGAGUCCUAAUCUAUGCCUGUGUGUUUGCUUCUUUACACUGCUGUUAACAGUUUAGGCUGUUAGAUUGUUCCAGAUAAGACAAGUACAAGAUACUUCAGAGCCGUUCUACCACGAGCCUGACAGGAAGAACUCCAACAGCUACUGAAUGUUCCUGUGGUCCCCUCAAGGCUACAGGAGGAGCCCUAUGAGGACGAGCCGGUCCACCUGAUGGUGGCCAGUUGCUGCGGUUCAAAGCCAACACCGACUACAUGGACUUCUACUGGACCACACGGAGGCCUUCAAACCGG
ensembl:lncRNA